rnacentral:ncRNA from 1 species
GACCAUGUGAGUUUGAUCGUGGCUCAGGAUGAACGCUGGCGGCGUGCCUAAUACAUGCAAGUCGAGCGAACAGACGAGAAGCUUGCUUCUCUGAUGUUAGCGGCGGACGGGUGAGUAACACGUGGAUAACCUACCUAUAAGACUGGGAUAACUUCGGGAAACCGGAGCUAAUACCGGAUAAUAUAUUGAACCGCAUGGUUCAAUAGUGAAAGACGGUCUUGCUGUCACUUAUAGAUGGAUCCGCGCUGCAUUAGCUAGUUGGUAAGGUAACGGCUUACCAAGGCAACGAUGCAUAGCCGACCUGAGAGGGUGAUCGGCCACACUGGAACUGAGACACGGUCCAGACUCCUACGGGAGGCAGCAGU